UUCGUCUUCUCCAUUGAUUAACACUGUUCAUCUUCUCUUCUUCCACUAACUGAAGUAAUUAAAAGGCACUGAUGGAUUCACCUUCCUCUUCUCCUACUUUAAAAAGGAUGCCGGGAUUGCAGAUUGUUCAUCUGCCCCGAAGCUAGGCAUCAAUCGAUCCAGGGAGCAACUCUGCUGAGCAUUAGCGCAACUGCACAAGGCAUCCCGUCACACGUUGGGCAUCCUCCACCGGUAGUGUGCGUGACCACUGUAUACAAUUUUUGCUUCUAUCUACAUCCAUCCCAUUCGGUCUAUAUUUGAGCAGGUUUUGUCCUCCAUGAGAUCUCUGUCCUCCGCAGGAAUCAAGACCCGGCGAGGCAGGCGCUGACUCAGAUGAGGCGGUCACUCACCAAGAUAACCCAUACUUCAUAUUCCUCUUUUCCUCUUCCUCACUUUUCUGUCGUUUAUGUCUUGCACUACAGGUGUUCGAUGAUUUGUUCAUCAUGCCGAUCUGUUGACUUCAUUGAACAUAUAGCCUCAUAAAAAACCUGAACGGCCAAGAAUGCAAAUGUAUCAUGGUCAGAUGGUACCAUAUGCUGUCUCAAAAGAUGUCAAUCCACAAGAGCGAUGCAUUGUAUCAGUCUAUCAGACAUGAAAGAAAAGGGACCAGUUCAUGUUCCAUGCCCUUCAGGUAAUAUGGAAAAAUAUAUGGUUCCAUAGUUCUUCCGAAAAAGCCUUGUGAGGGUUAUAGCUCAUGUGUUUGAAGUAAUGUACCGCCAGGGAACGAGUCUCCAAGAUCACAUUUGGCUCUGGUCUUGGAAUGAAUGCAUGAGCCGGAACAUGAAGUCAUAAACCAAUGCAUUAUCUGUAACUUGCAUCCUUGGAGGCCUACGGAGAUGUCAUAUUAGAAAAAUACUUCGAUGUGCACACCCCAGUAACUGGAGUACAAUGUUUCCUGUCAAGUGACCAAAGAAUAGAGAAGCCAUUCAGUCACAAAUUACAUCGUGGUACUUCUUGAAUUUUUUGCUGAACUGUUUGCUUGGCUGACUUCUUUUACUGUGUGAACUGUCAAUAUGAUAUGUUGUCAUUUAAAAGGAAGUAGUCUAUAUAAAAUUUCAUAUAUUAUUUCAAUGAAAUAAUUGUAUUUAUCUAGAAAUACAAAAGGAGCUACAAUUUUGGAAAGAUUGGCAUAGAAGUGCUUUUGAAGCAUGCCCAUAUGUCUGGAAGAAGUGCUUUUGAAGCAUGCCCAUAGUGGCUGGAAAGAGUUUUUUUUUCCUUGCUACGGAGGGUAAGAAUUUUAUAUAUAUUCACCUGCAAUAUUAGUGCAUAUUUUCACUCUGAAGGUUUCCAAGUCAAGACUAAAUGUCUUGCUUUGUCUUCAUUUUUCAGUUAUUUUACAGUACACUUUUUUAAUCUGCAUUGCCUCCUUAUUAAUCUGAAUGAGGGGAAUGUUUAGAGGCCCGUCUUUGUUCCUCUUCCAUGUGUUAUUUUUUGUAGUUUUGGUACGCUACAAGUUGCAGCUCAACUGAGAUUCAGCACUACGGGACAUAUGCAGGUAUACAAUGUUCAUUUAAACCGGCAAGGAUAUCCUCUAAAAUGGAAGUAUAUCCUCUAAAAUGAAAUUCUUAUGUCUCAUCUAACCAUGAUUUUUAUGUUGUUCGGGAAUCUGCAGCAAUGAACGAUGUUUAAUUAUUGGUUAUGCCCACAGGCUAUGAUUAUGUCCAUUUUAACCGCCAAGGAUGUUAACAACGAAAUUCCCAUCUCUAUGCCCUGCUCUAUCAUACACUAUUUGGUUCCUUUAUCAAAUUAAAUGACUCCUUCCGAGUUUCUCUACUUCACAUCAUACAUGAUGCUACACCACAUGAGAAGCUUUAUCUAUAUCAGUUAACUCGAAUAGAAGUGUUGUGUCGUUAGACAAAAGAUACACAUGGAUGAAACAACUCACAUCUUAUGAGCAUAAUGUCAUAUUUUCCUGUGUCAUGCCGAAUUGUUGAUUCUUCAUAGUAAGAUUUUAAAAAGUGGUCUGAUAAUAUAUCUAUGCUGAUAUAUUGGUAAUAGCAAGCCAUGUUAUACACAAACAACUACUGUCUCCCUCUAUUAAUUUAUUAGUUCCCGCCCUAAUUUUGUCGCCCCUUUAGUAUGUACAAUUUUUAUAAUGUUUUACAUAUAAUU